rnacentral:rRNA from 1 species
AACGAACGCUGGCGGCAGGCUUAACACAUGCAAGUCGAACGCCCCGCAAGGGGAGUGGCAGACGGGUGAGUAACGCGUGGGAAUCUACCCAGUUCUACGGAACAACACAGGGAAACUUGUGCUAAUACCGUAUACGCCCUACGGGGGAAAGAUUUAUCGGAAUUGGAUGAGCCCGCGUUGGAUUAGCUAGUUGGUGAGGUAACGGCUCACCAAGGCGACGAUCCAUAGCUGGUCUGAGAGGAUGAUCAGCCACACUGGGACUGAGACACGGCCCAGACUCCUACGGGAGGCAGCAGUGGGGAAUAUUGGACAAUGGGCGCAAGCCUGAUCCAGCCAUGCCGCGCGAGUGAUGAAGGCCUUAGGGUUGUAAAGCUCUUUCAGUGGGGAAGAUAAUGACGGUACCCACAGAAGAAGCCCCGGCUAACUUCGUGCCAGCAGCCGCCGUAAAAC